GGCACCCUGCUGUGCACGUGAUGGCCGACAACCGUCUUGAGCCAACACCCGAUUUUUGGGGGGCAAUCUCUGGAGGGGAUGCAGUAGCUCCACCGAGGGCGAGGCAGUAACCGACAGGUAGCCUCCCACCCUGCGAAAGCAGGUUCAAGACUAGGUCGCACACGGCACAGCGGGGGCCC
rnacentral:other from 1 species